AAGAAGAACAAGAAGGACGAGGGCUGCUUUACUUGUGGUUCGGUUGAACAUUGGGCCAACAAGUGCCCAAACAAGUACAAGAAGUCAGGACAGGACUCCAAGUCUGUCAACAUGAUUGUGGGCAACAAUGAGAAUGGUGCAUCUGGGUACAGUAAUUUAUUUACUGUUUUUUCAGUGUUUCAACCCAACGAUUGGUGGGUGGACACAGGUGCAGGUGUUCAUGUGUGUGCUGACAUUUCAUUGUUCACUUCUUACCAGGUCACAGGUCACGGGUCCGUAUUGAUGGGGAAUGGCGCGAGUGCUUCUGUUCAUGGUGUUGGCACGGUCGAUUUGAAGUUUACUUCGGGAAGGAUCGUGCAGCUGAAGAACGUGCAGCAUGUCCCCGCCAUCAAGAAGAACCUCGUUAGUGGCUCCCUUCUAUGUAGAGAAGGGUUUAAGUUGGUUUUC
rnacentral:rRNA from 1 species